ACGUGGACAAUCUGCCCCCCGGCCCGGGAUAGCCCAGGGAAACCUGGAUUAAUACCGGAUGAGACGGGACCCGCGAUGGCGGGACCCGGGAAAGGCGCUGGCGGCGCCGCCGGGGGAUGAGUCUGCGUCCCAUUAGCUAGACGGCGGGGUAACGGCCCACCGUGGCGACGAUGGGUAGCCGGCCUGAGAGGGUGGACGGCCACAUUGGAACUGAGACACGGUCCAGACUCCUACGGGAGGCAGCAGCUAAGAAUCUUCCGCAAUGGGCGAAAGCCUGACGGAGCGAACCGCCGCGUGAACGAAGAAGGCCGUGAGGUUGUAAAGUUCUUUUCGGGAGGGGGAACAACCGUGGCAGGGAAUGGCCGCGGGAUGACGUGAAUCCCGGAAUAAGCCCCGGCUAACUACGUGCCAGCCGCCGC
rnacentral:rRNA from 1 species